AUUGAACGCUGGCGGCAUGCCUUACACAUGCAAGUCGAACGGCAGCGCGGACUUCGGUCUGGCGGCGAGUGGCGAACGGGUGAGUAAUACAUCGGAACGUACCCUGUUGUGGGGGAUAACUAGUCGAAAGAUUAGCUAAUACCGCAUACGACCUGAGGGUGAAAGUGGGGGACCGCAAGGCCUCACGCAGCAGGAGCGGCCGAUGUCUGAUUAGCUAGUUGGUGGGGUAAAGGCCCACCAAGGCGACGAUCAGUAGCUGGUCUGAGAGGACGACCAGCCACACUGGGACUGAGACACGGCCCAGACUCCUACGGGAGGCGGCAGUGGGGAAUUUUGGACAAUGGGGGCAACCCUGAUCCAGCAAUGCCGCGUGUGUGAAGAAGGCCUUCGGGUUGUAAAGCACUUUUGUCCGGAAAGAAAUCGCGCUGGUUAAUACCUGGCGUGGAUGACGGUACCGGAAGAAUAAGCACCGGCUAACUACGUG
rnacentral:rRNA from 1 species